GUCCCUGUAGCGCAAUGAAUAGCGCGUUGGAUUUAUAAUCCAAAGAUCGUCGGUUUCAAUCCUACCUGGAAUG